rnacentral:rRNA from 1 species
AGUGAACGCUGGCGGUAGGCCUAACACAUGCAAGUCGAACGGCGGCACAGUAAGAGCUUGCUCUUACGGGUGGCGAGUGGCGGACGGGUGAGGAAUACAUCGGAAUCUACUUUUUCGUGGGGGAUAACGUAGGGAAACUUACGCUAAUACCGCAUACGACCUACGGGUGAAAGCAGGGGAUCUUCGGACCUUGCGCGAUUGAAUGAGCCGAUGUCGGAUUAGCUAGUUGGCGGGGUAAAGGCCCACCAAGGCGACGAUCCGUAGCUGGUCUGAGAGGAUGAUCAGCCACACUGGAACUGAGACACGGUCCAGACUCCUACGGGAGGCAGCAGUGGGGAAUAUUGGACAAUGGGCGCAAGCCUGAUCCAGCCAUACCGCGUGGGUGAGGAAGGCCUUCGGGUUGUAAAGCCCUUUUGUUGGGAAAGAAAAGCAGCAGGUUAAUACCCCGCUGUUCUGACGGUACCCAAAGAAUAAGCACCGGCUAACUUCGUG